GACGAACGCUGGCGGCGUGCUUAACACAUGCAAGUCGAGCGGUAAGGCCCUUUCGGGAGUACACGAGCGGCGAACGGGUGAGUAACACGUGGGUGACCUGCCCUCAGCUCUGGGAUAAGCCUGGGAAACCGGGUCUAAUACCGGAUAUGACUCCAUGACGCAUGUUGUGGGGUGGAAAGCCUUGUGCGGCUGAGGAUGGGCCCGCGGCCUAUCAGCUUGUUGGUGGGGNGAUGGCCUACCAAGGCGACGACGGGUAGCCGGCCUGAGAGGGCGACCGGCCACACUGGGACUGAGACACGGCCCAGACUCCUACGGGAGGCAGCAGUGGGGAAUAUUGGACAAUGGGCGAAAGCCUGAUCCAGCAAUGCCGCGUGAGUGAUGAAGGCCUUAGGGUGUAAAGCUCUUUUACCCGGGAUGAUAAUGACAGUACCGGGAGAAUAAGCUCCGGCUAACUCCGUGACAGCAGCCGC
rnacentral:rRNA from 1 species